rnacentral:rRNA from 1 species
AUCAGCUAGUUGGUGGGGUAACGGCUACCAAGGCGAUGACGGGUAGCCGGCGUGAGAGCGCGACCGGCCACAUCGGGACUGAGCACUGCCCGGACACCUACGGGUGGCUGCAGCAACGAAUCUUCCGCAAUGGGCGAAAGCCGACGGAGCGAUGCCGCGUGGACGACGAAGGUCGAGAGAUUGUAAAGUCCUUUUCCUGAUAGGAAUGAGCCUGGGAGGGAAUGCCUGGGUGAUGACGUUAGUCAGGGAAUAAGCCCCGGCAAUUACGUGCCAGCAGCCGCGGUAAUACGUAAGGGGCGAGCGUUGUUCGGAAUUAUUGGCGUAAAGGGCGCGUAGGCGGUGAUCCAAGUCUGGUGUGAAAGACCGGGGCUCAACUCCGGUGUGCGCUGGAAACUGGAUGACUUGAGUUUGAGAGGGGAAGCUGGAAUUCCUGGUGUAGGGUAAAAUCUGUUGAGAUCAGGAAGAAUACCGGUGGCGAAGGCGGGCUUCUGGCUCAAACUGACGCUGAGGCGCGAAAGCAUAGGGAGCAAACAGGAUUAGAUACCCUGGUAGUCUUGCUGUAAACGAUGUGCACUGGGUGUUGGGCCGCUUUAGGCUCGGUACCGAAGCUAACGGUUAAGUGCACCGCCUGGGGAGUAUGCCCGCAAGGGUGAAACUCAAAUGAAUUGACGGGG